AGAGCCACUAUUCUGCCACCAGUUCUGUGUUCAUUCAGACAGACAGGAGGACAACAUGCCAACACUAUUCCUAUUCUCUUGGCUCAUUGGUGUCUGUCUGAGUCUUGAUGUCCGUCAGUCUUCCUCUGAUCUCAUCACCGAAUCUGGAGACAAAGUGGAGAUAUUCUGCAGCCAUGAUAAAACUGACUACAGGGUGAUGCUCUGGUACCAGCGCUCACCUGGAGACACAGCUAUGAAACUCAUUGGAUAUUUGUACUUUAAAGAUGUCAAAAUGGAAGAGCCAUAUAAAGAACAUUUCAAUAUCAUUGGAGAUUUGGGGGGAAAUACAGCAAAGAACGCCUCUCUUAAAAUCAAACUUGUAGAACAAGAGCACAGUGCGGUUUACUACUGUGCAGCUAGAGAAGCACAAUGACAAAUAUCCCGUCUACACUUUACAAAAACUCUGCUCAAUCUUUUCUCAUCACUGGUUUAUAAUAAGACAUGGAAUAAACUGCUCCCAGACACCUG